rnacentral:lncRNA from 1 species
ACUCUCUUUAAUCAAUUUCUCUCUCAACUCUCUCUCUCUCUAAAACUCACUUUCUCUCUCCCCAAUAUGUUUCUUCAACGCAACGACUUCUGGUGAAGCAGUUAUCGAUAACUUUCUAAUAAAUUAAGGCAAAGAGUUUCAACGAGAUGAAUUGCCUUCAAAAUCUCCCAAGGGUUUCAACUUCAGCAUCAAACAGCAUCAAACAAGAAACUCAUUUCUCUCUCUCAAAUCCAGACCUCUCUCUCAGUUCAGUUCCAGUUCGUCAGAAAAUGGCGUUUUCGGCAAGUUCGCCGUGAUGUCGGAAAUCGAGCUUCUUUCUGCGUUAAAGAUCGGGAAGUUGAAUGGGAUAGAGCUUUCAAUUUUUUUUGGAUAAUUUGGACUUCUUGAUUGCUUGCAUCCAGAAAACAAAUGGGAAGUUGAAUGGGAUAGAGCUUUCAAUUUUUCGGAUAAUUUGGACUUCUUGACUGCUUGCAUCCAGAAAACAAAUGGUAUGAGCUCCGAUGUGAAUUUGUAUUAGCUUAAUGAUGUUUUGUAAAUUUUUGAAUCUGUUUAUAGUUUGUUCAGUGUAUCCAAUCAGAUUCCCAUAUCAAUUGAUUAAUAUUUUCGGUUUUGUAAGUUUGUGAAUCCGUUAACAGUUCGUUUAGUGGCUUUGAUUAUUUGACAUUUCACGUAUCAGUUGAUUAAUGCUUUCUGUUUUGCAAAUAUGUAAAACUGUUUCAGGUCAGUGGCUUAGAUUAUUUUACACUUCACGUUGCACUGUUUUGUAAAUCUAUUGACCAUCUGUUUACAGUUUGUUCAGCGGUUUUCAGGUUUUGAAUGCCAUGUAUCAUAUCAUACUGUAUAAAACAGGGAUACACUCGUCGUAUGGAUGGUUAUGAAUUCAGAUUCAAUUGCUUGGUUUCUUGAAGCUAGGGUUUCCCCCUCUUGCUCUGUUCUUGAUCGAUUUCCCCCAGACACACUUACUGUGUGUUUUGGGGUUAUAAUUAGUUUUAAUAAUUAAGUUUAACACUUUUACAAUUUUACACCCUUUACUUAGUUACUGAUUUCAACCCUAAGCUUUUCCCCAUAUUUAACUACCAUCUUGCCAUAUAUCAUUAACUACGUUAAGUUUAUUAUUUAUCCUUACUUAUUUUUGUGUUAACAUUUUGGGGGUGUUACAAGUUUACCCACGUUUAGCUCAAGGAAAGAUGUGGGACGAAGCGAGUUUCACAUUUUUCAUCGUUUUUAAUUUUUUCGUUAGUAUAUACAUACACGCUUAUACAUGUAACUAUGGUUAAUUUUGACGUGAUUUUCUGAUGACUGUAACAUGCAUAAGUGGAUAUGGAAUCAAUGAAGCGGAACCGUUUGUCGAAUGGGAUAGUGGAGAAAAAUCUGAACUGGCAAAACUUGAUGAUUUACAGAUUCGAGAAUCCAUCAUAGCUUUCUUUCCACUGCUUCACUCUUGUGAGACCAUUGAGCGAUGAAAAAGAGCUCCAGCGGCUUGACCGGAUAUUUUUAGGUUUCAACAAUCACCAUUAACAACUUCUUGCCGCAAUUCCAUCUCAACCCUUCACACGAACCCAUAUUUUUAGCUGAAGCAAAUUCAUGAGAUCAAGGACUUCCUUAUUACCGUAAGAUGGAAGGACGCACGAUCCGUGAAGAUCAAAAGGACCGAGGAUAUUGUCAAGUUCAAGGUUUGAGCGUGCAAGACGUUUAAGCUGUAUCUUUCAAAGAUUCGAAGACCUUUAAGUUAUUGUUAUGUGGUUAGUUAAUGAUUGUUUUGUUUGCUAUAAGGGAUCUUGUAGUGUUUAAUUUUAAAUUGUUGAUUAUACUUGGUUGAUGUUAAUGUUAAUUUGGAUGGAUGGAUGUUAAUCUUAUAUCAUGUUUUUUUUAGUUG